UCUUCGGUAGUAUAGGGGUGAGUAUCCCCGCCUGUCACGCGGGAGACCCGGGUUCAAGUCCCGGCCGGAGAG
rnacentral:tRNA from 1 species